AAAGGAAUAGACGGGGGCCCGCACAAGCAGUGGAUUAUGUGGUUUAAUUCGAAGCAACGCGAAGAACCUUACCGGGGCUUGACAUCGCCUGAGAACUGUGGAAACACAGCUUCCCUUCGGGGCAGGCAGACAGGUGGUGCAUGGUUGUCGUCAGCUCGUGUCGUGAGAUGUUGGGUUAAGUCCCGCAACGAGCGCAACCCUUACUGUUAGUUGCUACGCAAGAGCACUCUAACGGGACUGCCGUUGACAAAACGGAGGAAGGUGGGGACGACGUCAAAUCAUCAUGCCCUUUAUGUCCCGGGCUACACACGUAAUACAAUGGCACCCUAACAGAGGGAAGCGAAGCCGCGAGGCACAGCAAAACCCCAAAAGGUGCCCCAGUUCGGAUCGCAGGCUGCAACUCGCCUGCGUGAAGUCGGAAUUGCUAGUAAUCGCGGAUCAUCAUGCCGCGGUGAAUACGUUCCCGGGCCUUGUACACACCGCCCGU
rnacentral:rRNA from 1 species